UACGGAGGGGGCUAGCGUUGUUCGGAAUUACUGGGCGUAAAGCGCACGUAGGCGGAUUUGUAAGUUAGGGGUGAAAUCCCGGGGCUCAACCUCGGAACUGCCUUUGAUACUGCAAAUCUAGAGUCCGGAAGAGGUGAGUGGAAUUCCUAGUGUAGAGGUGAAAUUCGUAGAUAUUAGGAAGAACACCAGUGGCGAAGGCGGCUCACUGGUCCGGUACUGACGCUGAGGUGCGAAAGCGUGGGGAGCAAACAGG
rnacentral:rRNA from 1 species